GUUCGCUACACAACGCAGUCUAGGAGUUUUGUGUAGACUUUAAUCAGAUUAUCGUCGAUAAUGGAGACCUAUAGGGUCACACUUUAUGUGUAUAGUUGAUUCGCUCAAGGGUGCAAAGAUAGUGCUUGGUGUUUAAUAUAAUGCUAGUCCAAGUGAGAGAUUGAAAAGAUAUAUGGACUAAAUUAGGAUAUAUUAAAUAUAUUCUAAUAAGCUUUUAUUAAUUAUUAAAUAGUUGGACUAUUGAAUUAAUUAAUUGAAGACAAAAGAAAAGUCUGGCCUAUUUACCUAUGGUAAUAAUAGGCGUGUGUUUAUUCCUAUAAUAAUAGGAAUAUAUUUCUUUUGUCAGACAAUUGAAAACACAAGAAAGAAAACACUUAGAGCACUACAGAAUUUAAUCGGAGAUUUCCUAGUGAUUGAAUGAUGCAUCGGGAAUUGUUCCUGCAUCGAAUCUGCAAUAUGCGUGGAUACAUGAUAGUAGUGGAUUCAACUGCAGGAUUGUUAGAAGAAUUGCUACAAGAUUGUUUGCUACACAACAAAUGAUGUCAAGAAUCACCAACAGGGGCCAUGUUCUGCUCGUCGAUUGCACUGGGGUUCCUAUCGCUGGGGAGAGCUAUUUACCGUGAAUCACAUGGAUGUGGCUCCGAGGUAUGUAGAGGUAGUGAUGGGGAUUUCGAACACGGCCGGCACGUUAGCCGGGGUCGUCGGAGUCGGCCUAACUGGUCGAGUCCUCGAGGCGGCCAAGGCGGCGGACAUGGAUCUUACCACUCCGGAGAUGGAGACCGGUUUUUGUCAUCCCAAGUUUACUAUGUGUGUUUAGUUCUCUUGUGUUUCUUUUACAAACUACGGUUUAUUAAUGCACAAUUUCUUUCAUAAAACGACCUUA